rnacentral:rRNA from 1 species
UGAGGAAUAUUGGUCAAUGGGCGAGAGCCUGAACCAGCCAAGUAGCGUGCAGGAAGACGGCCCUAUGGGUUGUAAACUGCUUUUAUGUGGGGAUAAAGUGCGUGACGUGUCAUGCAUUGCAGGUACCACAUGAAUAAGGACCGGCUAAUUCCGUGCCAGCAGCCGCGGUAAUACGGAAGGUCCGGGCGUUAUCCGGAUUUAUUGGGUUUAAAGGGAGCGUAGGCUGUCUAUUAAGCGUGUUGUGAAAUUUACCGGCUCAACCGGUAGCUUGCAGCGCGAACUGGUCGACUUGAGUAUGCAGGAAGUAGGCGGAAUUCAUGGUGUAGCGGUGAAAUGCUUAGAUAUCAUGACGAACUCCGAUUGCGCAGGCAGCUUACUGUAGCAUAACUGACGCUGAUGCUCGAAAGUGCGGGUAUCAAACAGGAUUAGAUACCCUGGUAGUCCGCACGGUAAACGAUGGAUGCUCGCUAUUCGUCCUAUUUGGAUGAGUGGCCAAGUGAAAACAUUAAGCAUCCCACCUGGGGAGUACGCCGGCAACGGUG